rnacentral:rRNA from 1 species
GAUGAACGCUAGCGGGAGGCCUGACACAUGCAAGCCGAGCGGUAUUGCUUCAUCGGAAAUGAGAGAGCGGCGUACGGGUGCGUAACACGUGUGCAUCCUGAAUCUAUCUGGGGGAUAGCCUUUCGUACGGAAGAUCAAUACUCCAUAAUAUAUUGAACGGCAUCGUUUAAUAUUGAAAGUUCAGGCGGAUAGAGAUGGGCACGCGCAAGAUUAGCUCGUUGGUGAGGUAACGGCUCACCAAGGCGAGGAUCUUUAGGGGGCCUGAGAGGCUGAUCCCCCACGAUGGUACUGACACACCGACCAGACUCCGACGGGAGGCAGCGGUGAGGAACAGUGAUCAGUGGGAGCAAGCCUGAACCAGGCAGCCCGCGUGAAGGACGACUGCCGUUUGUGUUGUAAUCUUCUUUGGGAAAGAGAUAAACCUACCUUCGUGAGAGUAGCUGAAGGUACUAUACGAAUAAACACCCGCUAACUCCGUG